CGUGCGCAUGCGCCGAAUCCCGCGAGGGAACCGGGGAACCACACACUUGGGGUGAAUCGGGCUCUGAACGGCCCGUAGGAGACCUUCCUGCUCCGAACCCGUCAGCUAACCCGGUAGGCGGAGAAGGAAGGAAAG
rnacentral:sRNA from 1 species